rnacentral:rRNA from 1 species
UACAGGGGGUGCAAACGUUGCUCGGAAUCAUUGGGCGUAAAGCGCACGUAGGCGGUUCGUUAUGUCGGAUGUGAAAGCCCUUGGCUUAACCGAGGAAGUGCAUCCGAAACUGGCGAGCUAGAGUACUAAAGAGGAUCGCGGAAUUCCCGGUGUAGAGGUGAAAUUCGUAGAUAUCGGGAGGAAUACCAGUGGCGAAGGCGGCCUUCUGGACGGAUACUGACGCUGAGGCGCGAAAGCCAGGGGAGCAAACGGG